GAUGGAGGAUGCAAGCGUUAUCCGGAAUGAUUGGGCGUAAAGCGUCCGCAGGUGGCAGUUCAAGUCUGCUGUCAAAGACCGGGGCUUAACUUCGGAAAGGCAGUGGAAACUGAACAGCUAGAGUAUGGUAGGGGCAGAGGGAAUUCCUGGUGUAGCGGUGAAAUGCGUAGAGAUCAGGAAGAACAUCGGUGGCGAAGGCGGGUCUCUGGGCCGAUACUGACGCUGAGGAGCGAAAGCGUGGGGAGCGAACAGG
rnacentral:rRNA from 1 species